UACGUAGGGACCAAGCGUUGUUCGGAUUUACUGGGCGUAAAGGGCGCGUAGGCGGCAAUUCAAGUCAGCUGUGAAAUCUCCGAGCUUAACUCGGAACGGUCAGCUGAUACUGUUUUGCUAGAGUACAGAAGGGGCAAUCGGAAUUCUUGGUGUAGCGGUGAAAUGCGUAGAUAUCAAGAGGAACACCUGAGGUGAAGACGGGUUGCUGGGCUGAUACUGACGCUGGAGGCGACGAAAGCCGUGGGGAGCAAACAGG
rnacentral:rRNA from 1 species